rnacentral:rRNA from 1 species
UACGAAGGGGGCGAGCGUUGUUCGGAAUUACUGGGCGUAAAGGGCGCGUAGGCGGCGACCCAAGUCAGACGUGAAAUCCCUCAGCUUAACUGGGGAACUGCGUCUGAUACUGGAUGGCUUGAGUUUGGGAGAGGGACGCGGAAUUCCAGGUGUAGCGGUGAAAUGCGUAGAUAUCUGGAGGAACACCGGUGGCGAAGGCGGCGUCCUGGACCAACACUGGACACUGAUGAGCGAAAGCCAGGGGAGGCAAACGGG